rnacentral:rRNA from 1 species
UAGCGAGAUAAAAGGUGCCUGUACCGCAAACCGACACAGGUAGGCGAGGAGAGAAUCCUAAGGUGUGCGAGAGAACUCUGGUUAAGGAACUCGGCAAAAUGACCCCGUAACUUCGGGAGAAGGGGUGCUUUCUUAACGGAAAGCCGCAGUGAAUAGGCCCAAGCGACUGUUUAGCAAAAACACAGGUCUCUGCGAAGCCGUAAGGCGAAGUAUAGGGGCUGACACCUGCCCGGUGCUGGAAGGUUAAGGAGAGGGGUUAGCGUAAGCGAAGCUCUGAACUGAAGCCCCAGUAAACGGCGGCCGUAACUAUAACGGUCCUAAGGUAGCGAAAUUCCUUGUCGGGUAAGUUCCGACCCGCACGAAAGGUGUAACGAUUUGGGCACUGUCUCAACCAGAGACUCGGUGAAAUUAUAGUACCUGUGAAGAUGCAGGUUACCCGCGACAGGACGGAAAGACCCCGUGGAGCUUUACUGUAGCCUGAUAUUGAAUUUUGGUACAGUUUGUACAGGAUAGGCGGGAGCCAUUGAAACCGGAGCGCUAGCUUCGGUGGAGGCGCUGG